GCCAUAAGUAUCUAAAAUUAAAGAUAAACCCUUGUGACUGUUAAUCAGGGGGUCGUUGGUUCGAGUCCAACUUCGGGCGCCA
rnacentral:tRNA from 1 species